rnacentral:tRNA from 1 species
GCAGUGGUGGUUCAGUGUUAGAAUUCUUACCUUCCAUGUGGGAUACCCAGGUGUGACUCCUGGCCAAUGCA